rnacentral:rRNA from 1 species
UACGUAGGGUCCGAGCGUUGUCCGGAGUUACUGGGCGUAAAGAGCGCGCAGGCGGUCGUUCAAGUCGCGUGUGAAAGCCCCCGGCUCAACUGGGGAGGGUCACGCGAUACUGAUCGACUCGAAGGCAGGAGAGGGAAGUGGAAUUCCCGGUGUAGUGGUGAAAUGCGUAGAUAUCGGGAGGAACACCAGUGGCGAAGGCGACUUCCUGGCCUGUUCUUGACGCUGAGGCGCGAAAGCUAGGGGAGCAAACGGG